AUUGAACGCUGGCGGCAGGCUUAACACAUGCAAGUCGAGCGGGGGAAGGUAGCUUGCUACCGGACCUAGCGGCGGACGGGUGAGUAAUGCUUAGGAAUCUGCCUAUUAGUGGGGGACAACAUCUCGAAAGGGAUGCCCAUACCGCAUACGUCUUACGAGAGAAAGCAGGGGAUCUUCGGACCGUGCGCUAAUAGAUGAGCCUAAGUCGGAUUAGCUAGUUGGUGGGGUAAAGGCCUACUAAGGCGACGAUCUGUAGCGGGUCUGAGAGGAUGAUCCGCCACACUGGGACUGAGACACGGCCCAGACUCCUACGGGAGGCAGCAGUGGGGAAUAUUGGACAAUGGGGGGAACCCUGAUCCAGCCAGGCCGCGUGUGUGAAGAAGGCCUUAUGGUUGUAAAGCACUUUAAGCGAGGAGGAGGCUACUUUAGUUAAUACCUAGAGAUAGUGGACGUUACUCGCAGAAUAAGCACCGGCUAACUCUGUGCCAGCCGCCGCAGUAA
rnacentral:rRNA from 1 species